UACAGAGGUCCCAAGCGUUGUUCGGAUUCAUUGGGCGUAAAGGGUGCGUAGGUGGCACCGUAAGUCGGGUGUGAAAUUUCGGAGCUUAACUCCGAAACUGCAUUCGAUACUGCGGUGCUUGAGGACUGGAGAGGAGACUGGAAUUCAUGGUGUAGCAGUGAAAUGCGUAGAUAUCGUAAGGAAGACCAGUGGCGAAGGCGGGUCUCUGGACAGUUCCUGACGCUGAGGCACGAAGGUCAGGGGAGCAAACGGG
rnacentral:rRNA from 1 species